GUCUGUUAGUGAGGACGUUUUGGAGGUCUUUCCUUCAUAGGGUCGCCCUAGGUCGGAGGCAGCUUGACAGCACAUAACACACCCGCACACCUCUUCCAAAAGGAAACUGAUUCUGUACAAGGCUGGCUGCAUACGCUCUUGCUGGCCUGCCUCCUACCUGCUCAACCUUUACUUUUGUUAAUAAACAGGAUUAUCAACAAAUCUGGGAAAAUAUGUCCUGCCCCUUUAAUAGAGACUUAAUGAGCUGUUAUUUACCAGUUGAUGUUAUUUACUUCCAUGCCAGGAAAAGUUUUAACUGCCCAUUUCCACACAUUAAGCCUCUAUUAAAGGGACAGGACAUUUUUCUCCAGGCCAGUUGGCAACUCCAGACUAGACCCCAAAGGUGUGAUUGGGAGCUUGUGCCAUCUCUUCCAAAAGGAAACCAAUUCUGUACAAGGCUGGCUUUGCGUGUCCUUGCUGGCUCACUUCCUACCUGUUCAACCUUUACACUUGUUAAUAAAGCAGACUAGUCCACAACGGCAUUGCAAAUCACUAGUCCUUUCUGCUCCCAAAAGGAACUGAUCCUGUAUUUGGGCCUCAAGGAAUGCAGAAAGCAAAGCAGUAACUCUCUUCUUCGCAGCCCUGCAGAGGCCUUUGGAGGGCUCAGAAAGCAACCAGGCUUCAAAUCAGGAAGCAGCACCCUGAGAAAUUUAUCAGUGCUCUGACCACAUUGCUACUGCCGCCUACGCAGACGGACUCACGAGCUCUGUCACCUCCCCGCUUGCGGGUGGGAGAACGUUGAACAAUGGAUGCCCAAGAGAGAGCGGCCUUAGAUAUUUCCACCAGGAACCCUCAAGAGGACUUUGAGCUACUGCAGAGAGUUGGCGGGGGCACCUAUGGGGAAGUCUACAAGGCAAAGAACAAGGAAACGGGGAAGAUGGCGGCUAUCAAGAUUGUAAAAAUGGAAGCUGAUGAUGACUGUGCCACCAUUCAACAAGAGAUUGUCAUGGUUAAAACUUGCAAACAUCAGAACAUCGUAGCCUAUUUUGGGAGCUACCUCCGGUUUAACAAACUUUGGAUCUGCAUGGAAUUCUGUGGGGGUGGGUCUCUUCAGGACAUCUACCAAGUCACUGGUCCCCUGUCUGAGCAGCAGAUUGCCUACGUAUGCAGAGAAACCUUGCAAGGCCUGUCUUAUCUUCACAGCCAAGGGAAGAUCCACAGAGAUAUCAAGGGAGCCAACAUCCUACUCAACGACCGCGGGGAAGUAAAACUUGCGGAUUUCGGAAUCUCCGCGCAAAUCAGCGCAACCUUUGCCCGGAGAAUGUCUUUCAUUGGCACCCCGUACUGGAUGGCUCCAGAGGUGGCAGCAGUAGAACUGAAGGGGGGGUACAAUGUCCUGUGCGAUGUCUGGUCCGUGGGGAUCACAGCCAUUGAGCUGGCAGAGCUGCAGCCCCCCAUGUUCGAUAUGCACCCUAUGCGAGUCUUGGUUCUCAUGACGAAGAGCGGCUACCAGCCCCCAAAGCUCAAGGAGAAAGCCAAGUGGACACCAGCCUUCCACAACUUUGUCAAGAUGACGCUAACCAAGAACCCCAAGAAACGCCCGAGUGCCUCCAAGAUGCUGACCCACCAGUUUGUGGCCCAACCUGGACUGAGGCGCUGUCUGACCCUUGACCUGCUGGAGAAAGUGCAAAAUCCCGAGCAUCAGUCCAGCUGCAGAGGCGAGACGGACGAGGACGAUCAAGAGCCACCUCCCCCUCCGGUGCCCCGAAGAAUCCGCUCCAGCCACCGGCAAGGUGUUACAUCACCCAGAUGCUCUCACCCCCAUGCCCACCAUUUCGGCCUCAACUCCAGCAGCAGAUCAAGGCUGGACUCCCCGAACAUCACGGAACUCUCCACGGACCCUGGCUAUGGUACCGGCAGUCAUCUGUACAGCGCAGCCUUUAGCAGCAGAGAGAACGCAUCAGACUCCGAUCACGAUUACGAUGAUGUGGACGUUGUCACCUCAUCCUCUGAUCUCCCACCUCCACUCCCCCCCAAGCCCAAACUUUGGGCCUCGUCAGAAGAGACCACGGCAGACCGAUCCUCCUUGCAGUGCUCAGCAAUGCCCGUAUCUUGGGGAAGAUGCUCCAGUGGGCCUGUGAUGGGCCAGACUCCUCCACAGAUGGCGCAGAUGGGGGCUCCGGCCUCCCACCUCACUUCCAGAUCAGUCCCAGAGUUGUGGCCCGUUCGCCAGACUGAAGAGCCCCCCGUCCUGCCCCCCAAGCCCAGGCGGAAACAGAAACCAGACAGGACGCUCUUCAAGAAGGUUUUUAACGAAUGUCCUUUGCAUGUCACUUCAGCCACUUCUUGGACUCACCCCAACACAAAAGAGCCAUAUUUAAUCCUGAGCGCUGAAGAGGGAAUCUUUGCCUUGAAACAGAAUGACGCAGAGCCAACCCUUGAGCUGCUCUAUCACAGCCGCACAACUUGGGUGUACAGCAUCGAGAAUGUCCUCAUGUCACUUUCAGGCAAAUCCCCCCAACUCUUCUCUCACAAUUUACUGGGUUUGUAUGAACAGAGCAAACGAGAUCAGCGCCCCGCAGUGGUCAUUGCUCCCUACAGACUCUUACCCUGCAAGAAAAACGUCACCACCACCAAGAUUCCAGACACCAAAGGAUGCCAGAAGUGUAGCGUGGCCCGGAACGAGCAAACCGGCUGCUGCUACCUGUGUGGGGCGCUCGAGGCAGGGGUGGUCCUGUUGCAGUGGUAUGAACCCAUGCAGAAGUUCAUGCUAGUCAAGUAUUUCGACUUCCCUCUGCCCUCACUGCUGCCUGUCUUCGAGAUGCUGGUGUCCCCUGAAGAGGAGUACCCGGUCAUCUGCAUCGGCGUGAGCAAAGGAGCAUCUGGGCAGGCUGUGGCGUUCCAGGUCAUCAACCUCAAUUCGCUCACCUCCUGGUUCAUCGAUGAUGGCUCCGAACCUGCUUGGUCUGGCCCUGUCCAGGUGACCCAGUUGGGCAACGAGAGGGUAAUGGUUCUGAUGGACGUCUUUCCGUCCCCCAGGAAGUGUCAAGUUCGUCAGCCUCCAGGGCUCUCUUCUUCCACGCCUCCCAGAGCUCACCUUUGACGUGGCGGUGGAGUCAGUCGCAGUGGUACGGGACCGCGUGUAUGCAUGUUGGCGCCACGGCAUACAGAUAAAGAGUCUUGGAUCAGGCCAGCUAGCACAAGAGCUGCA